ACUCCUACGGGAGGCAGCAGUGGGGAAUAUUGCACAAUGGGCGCAAGCCUGAUGCAGCCAUGCCGCGUGUGUGAAGAAGGCCUUCGGGUUGUAAAGCACUUUCUAGUUGUGAGGAAGGUGGUGUCGUUAAUAGCGGCAUCAUUUGACGUUAGCAACAGAAGAAGCACCGGCUAACUCCGUGCCAGCAGCCGCGGUAAUACGGAGGGUGCGAGCGUUAAUCGGAAUUACUGGGCGUAAAGCGCAUGCAGGUGGUUGUUAAGUCAGAUGUGAAAGCCCGGGGCUCAACCUCGGAACUGCAUUUGAAACUGGCAGACUAGAGUACUGUAGAGGGGGUAGAAUUUCAGGUGUAGCGGUGAAAUGCGUAGAGAUCUGAAGGAAUACCGGUGGCGAAGGCGGCCCCUGGACAGAUACUGACACUCAGAUGCGAAAGCGUGGGAGC
rnacentral:rRNA from 1 species